rnacentral:rRNA from 1 species
GACGAACGCUGGAGGCGUGCUUAACACAUGCAAGUCGAACGAUGAAAUGGAGCUUGCUCCAUGGAUUAGUGGCGAACGGGUGAGUAACACGUGAAUAACCUGCCCUUAAUUUUGGAAUAACCCAGGGAAACCUGGGCUAAUACCGGAUAAGUAAACCUGUGGCAUCACAUGGUUUUGGAAAGUUUUUCGAUUAAGGAUGGAUUCGCGGCCUAUCAGCUUGUUGGUGAGGUAAUGGCUCACCAAGGCGACGUCGGGUAGCCGGCCUGAGAGGGUGAACGGCCACACUGGGACUGAGACACGGCCCAGACUCCUACGGGAGGCAGCAGUGGGGGAUAUUGCGCAAUGGACGAAAGUCUGACGCAGCGACGCCUCGUGAGGGACGAAGGUCUUCGGAUUGUAAACCUCUUUCAGCAGGGACGAAGCGAAAGUGACGGUACCUGCAGAAGAAGCACCGGCUAACUAUGUGCCAGCCGCCGCGGUAA